rnacentral:lncRNA from 1 species
AAGGACCCGACUAACACAAUAUACCGUACACAAGUACAAGAAGAAUAUUUACCUUAGGCGCGCCCAGUCAGGGGGAGGCGCGCUCAUCGAUACAUUGUGCCAGCCGUGGGACUUGCUUCCUUCCGAAACCCUGAGAAAGUCUCCAGAUCCGAGAAUCACGCUUCCCUCAUGUGUUGGCUUCUGGAACCUUCACUCCGAUCUUGCCUUCAUCUUUCGCCCUCACAACCGUGCCUUGUUCAAUAUCGAUAACAAACAACAAUGCUUACCGUUGUCUUCCCCUUCUGAACAUGCUUCUCCAUCGAACCCGUCUUCUUUUCCUUCAUAACGGGCUUCUCUUUCGAUCUCGUCUUCUUCUCCUUCAAGACGGACUUCUCCUUCGAUCCCGUCUUCUUCUCCUUCAUAACGGAAUUCUCCUUCGAUCUUGUCUUCUUCUCCUUCAUAACGUACUUCUCCUUCGAUCCCAUUAUCUAUCCCUUCCGAACAGACUUCUUAGAUAAUUCAUCGGUACUCACCAUGAUUGGCGGCGACCAGGCGAUCGGCGGUCGUAGACUGACGUUGUCUCCAUCUGUUAUCACAAUUGCCUGUUCCUGGGGGGUGUCCCCGACCGUGAUGUCGUCCGUCCAUCGGUGUUGCUUGUCUUUCCAAUGUUGUCUCCACUGGAUCUAGGAUCGGGGUGCUGGUUCCCGUCGGGCGUUCUCUCGCCGUGGUUCGACAUCUUUCUCCUUGAUGGAAAAUCUUGAACUACCCCUCCUUCUAGCGCCAAUUUGUUAACGGAGAAAACUGGUAGGUUAACAAAGAUGAGGUUCGCGGCGUGGAUCAAGAUUCUUGUUGGCGAGAAUGUAGGAAGUGGUUGGUUGUUUGUUAUGGAGGCGGCUGCAAUUGUAAGCAAAGGGUUCGAGAUUGCUAACUGGAAUAGCUCUCAAGAAUGAUCGAUGCCUACAAUCUGCCUACGUACCCCUAUUUAUAGAGGAUCAAGCCGGCACGUAGUUCUUUCUCCUAAGAGACCCAUGUGGACUGGGCCUCCCCUUCUAGAAUCUUCCUCCCGAAAGGGGCCCAAUACGAUGAGGCCUAGCCUUGGGCCUUGCAGACUCUCGAGCACCCAAGGCUUACCCCAAAUGCAUGGACACUACUCCACUCCCCGACAGGGACAACCCGCCAGACUACAGAGGUAGAGCCUUUCAGGGCGCGUCUUCUAUUCUACCUCCACCUCCCAAGGAGGACAACUCCUCAGACUACAAGGUAGGGCCUUCUACAAUUCAACAGUUGGAUUUACUUAUGUUUAAGGGCGUCCCCCUAAACAAAAGCAUCUCCUUCUGUCCUUCUGAACCAUUGCUAACUGAACUGUCUUCGGCAAGAUGGCGCGCCCAAAGAUAGGGCGCGCCCUAUCUUUCUACAGGGUCACUUCUAAAUCGGGUUGAUCUUGAUUCUUCUGGCCCAACCAAGUCUUCUUUUGUGGGCCUGGCCCAUGAAGUCGGUCUUCAUAUAAAUCAUUUUCUUAUAAAGCUGAGAUGUGUCUUCUCCCUCCAAUCAGGGCGCGCCCUCAUGGAGGUCCUUCUGGGUACGGUCAGAUAUGUAGUUGCUGUCAGAUAUGUGGACACGGCCUGAUAUGUGGACGCGGCCUGGCAUGUGGACGCGGCCUGACAUCAUGUGGACGCGGCCUGGCAUGUGGCCACGGCCUGACAUGUGGGCGCGGCCUGACAUCAUGUGGACGCGGCCUGGGAUGUGGGCGCAGCCAGACAUGUGGGAGCGGCCAGACAUGUGGUCGCGGCCUGGCAAGUGGGCGCGGCCUGGCAUGUGGACGCGUCCUGGCAAGUGGGCGCGACCUGGCAUGUGGACGCGCCCUGGCAUUAAAGCGGCCUAGCAUGUGGACGCGCCCUGGCAAGUGGGCGCGGCCUAGCAUGUGAUCCAGCCCAAUCUUGAAUAUGUCAGCCCAAAAUAGUUUUCCACCUAAAGCGCGCCCUUACUAGAGGUUCUUCUGGACGUGGCCAGAUAUGUGGGCGCGCCUACAUAUGAUUGGAGGCCUAACAACCGAGUGAUUGGAGGUCUUUCAUGGAGGCGCCUGUUAAGUUGGCGGCGCCAGUUAAGUGGGCGCGCCCACUUACUGAGCAGCCUAAUUCUGACCAUGUCCGGGCCCAAACAACAUAUCUCCGGUUUUCUAGUGGAUUUGUCUCAUUAGGCAAUCUCAUGUCUUCCUUCCAUCAAGGCGCUCCCAGAUUUUGGGUCUUCUUGGAGGAGCCAAAUAAGUGGGCGCGACCACAUUCUAAGCGGCCUCCAUCAAGUGCUUGUUGAUUUUUUGGUAACUUUCUCUCCCGGCUAGUUGAAUGCCUUGUAAUGGUAUUUUGAAGUUUUGAUCAUUUCUGAAGGCGCGCCUAGAACAAAUGUCGUCUCCAAGAUAUUAAGCUCAAAUUAUACCUCUGGCCUCCAAUAUUUUACUCAUAGCUCGUCUCAGGUUUCAUAGUUUUGUCCAGGUCAACAACUUAUAUGUUGGUAUUUGUCCUCGGUCUUCAGCUUACAUCCUGCGUCUUGUUCUAGGUCUUUGGGCUUCGACUUGCAUUCUCGGUCUUGUUCUGGAUCUUCGGUCUUCGACCUGUAUCCUUGGGCUUGUCUUGCGCCUUCAACCUGUAUCUAAGAGCAUGUCCAGGGUUUCCGACCCGAACUCGGAACUUAUCUUGUGUCUCCGACCUGCACUCGGAGCCUUUCCUGGAUCUCUUGCCUAUACUCGGAGCUUGUCCUGAGUCUCCGACCUAUACCCCGGAAUGUGUUCGGGGACUUCAGCCUUCAACCUGUAACAUGGAGCUUGCCCUAAGUCUUCUCUCACAAUCCUCCACAAUAUAUACCUCCGAGACGAGCUUUCCCUGUAAGUGCUCCAAGCAAUGUGUCUCUACAAAGAGUCCACAUCUGAUUCGAUAGGGUCCUUCCUAGUUAGCAUCGAACACUCCAUGAUUUUGGCACUUUCAUCCCUGACAUCAUCCUGCACUAGGUCUCCCCUAUUCAAAGGAUUGGCCUUGACCUUGCUAUUGUAGAAUCGAGUUGUUCUCUGUUAAUAUGCUGCUUCCUGAGCUGUGACUCGCUUCUGACUUCUUCCAUCAUAUUGGGGGUGAAGCCUCUGAUUAACUUCGUUUGCCUCCUACUCGAAGUUGUCUCUCCUUAAAGAACCUGCUUCAACCUUGACUGGAACCAUUGCCUCAGGAUCUUUAGAGCAAGUGAACUACCCCCCGAGUGAUUGUCACACAUUUCUUCAUGAACUUCCAUCAUCUACCAGGAUGAUAAUGGAGCUGGGCUUCGGAAGAGUCCUUUGUUGGUUGGCUUUAAAGAUGCGUUCUAUUGACGCAACCAAAUGUGUCUAAUGAUUAGAUCUUUCAUCAUAGUCCCGAGGUGGUGUGUAGUUUCUUCUAUAGGUAAUAUUGUCUCUGCUUGGAUGUUGACGUCUGCUUCUAUGUUCCGGGCUGGAAGAUUGUUCUCGUCUCCCGAGGUUGUGUUCUUGUAGUUGACGGGCGAAGGAUCCUUGAUGACUUCGGCAAAGAGUGAUUCUUGACUGGAAGUGACGUUUUUCCUCCAUCAAAGUGGUGUCGAGAUAAUCCUGAGGGUGUUGAUGUCGAUAGCCUCGAUCCCUGGAAUGUUCUGGACAUUAGGUUGGACACGCGUCGUAGAUGGGAUUCUCCCUGUAGUUAUGAGGUCGCUUGGCGGUGGAGCAAGGAGAUUCGAUGACAUGGCAAGAUUUGAUGGAGCAAGGAGAUUUGACGACGAAGCAAGAUUUGAUGAUGAGUUGAUGGUGGAACGAGAAGAUUGCCGAUGUCUGUUGUCGAGUUAUGUGGUUGACUUGAGCAUCUAUGAGAUUGAAGUGGAGCGUGUCUGUGCCUAAGGUGUGCCAUGUUAGAAGGAGGUGCACCUUCUAACAUACUUUUUCCCUGCAAGGGAUACAACCAAUACAACAUAUCGUAUACAAGUGUUAGGAAGAGUAUUUACCUCAGGGCGCUCCCAGUCAGGGGAAGGCGCGCCUAAACUAACAUUCUUCCUCCCUGCAAAGGACCCGACUAACACAAUAUACCGUACACAAGUACAAGAAGAAUAUUUACCUUAGGCGCGCCCAGUCAGGGGGAGGCGCGCUCAUCGAUACAUUGUGCCAGCCGUGGGACUUGCUUCCUUCCGAAACCCUGAGAAAGUCUCCAGAUCCGAGAAUCACGCUUCCCUCAUGUGUUGGCUUCUGGAACCUUCACUCCGAUCUUGCCUUCAUCUUUCGCCCUCACAACCGUGCCUUGUUCAAUAUCGAUAACAAACAACAAUGCUUACCGUUGUCUUCCCCUUCUGAACAUGCUUCUCCAUCGAACCCGUCUUCUUUUCCUUCAUAACGGGCUUCUCUUUCGAUCCCGUCUUCUUCUCCUUCAAGACGGACUUCUCCUUCGAUCCCGUCUUCUUCUCCUUCAUAACGGAAUUCUCCUUCGAUCUUGUCUUCUUCUCCUUCAUAACGUACUUCUCCUUCGAUCCCAUUAUCUAUCCCUUCCGAACAGACUUCUUAGAUAAUUCAUCGGUACUCACCAUGAUUGGCGGCGACCAGGCGAUCGGCGGUCGUAGACUGACGUUGUCUCCAUCUGUUAUCACAAUUGCCUGUUCCUGGGGGGUAUCCCCGACCGUGAUGUCGUCCGUCCAUCGGUGUUGCUUGUCUUUCCAAUGUUGUCUCCACUGGAUCUAGGAUCGGGGUGCUGGUUCCCGUCGGGCGUUCUCUCGCCGUGGUUCGACAUCUUUCUCCUUGAUGGAAAAUCUUGAACUACCCCUCCUUCUAGCGCCAAUUUGUUAACGGAGAAAACUGGUAGGUUAACAAAGAUGAGGUUCGCGGCGUGGAUCAAGAUUCUUGUUGGCGAGAAUGUAGGAAGUGGUUGGUUGUUUGUUAUGGAGGCGGCUGCAAUUGUAAGCAAAGGGUUCGAGAUUGCUAACUGGAAUAGCUCUCAAGAAUGAUCGAUGCCUACAAUCUGCCUACGUACCCCUAUUUAUAGAGGAUCAAGCCGGCACGUAGUUCUUUCUCCUAAGAGACCCAUGUGGACUGGGCCUCCCCUUCUAGAAUCUUCCUCCCGAAAGGGGCCCAAUACGAUGAGGCCUAGCCUUGGGCCUUGCAGACUCUCGAGCACCCAAGGCUUACCCCAAAUG